rnacentral:rRNA from 1 species
UAGGGAAUCUUCGGCAUGGACGAAAGUCUGACCGAGCAACGCCGCGUGCGUGAAGAAGGUUUUCGGAUCGUAAAACUCUGUUGUUAGAGAAGAACAAGGACGUUAGUAACUGAACGUCCCCUGACGGUAUCUAACCAGAAAGCCACGGCUAACUACGUGCCAGCAGCCGCGGUAAUACGUAGGUGGCAAGCGUUGUCCGGAUUUAUUGGGCGUAAAGCGAGCGCAGGCGGUUUCUUAAGUCUGAUGUGAAAGCCCCCGGCUCAACCGGGGAGGGUCAUUGGAAACUGGGAGACUUGAGUGCAGAAGAGGAGAGUGGAAUUCCAUGUGUAGCGGUGAAAUGCGUAGAUAUAUGGAGGAACACCAGUGGCGAAGGCGGCUCUCUGGUCUGUAACUGACGCUGAGGCUCGAAAGCGUGGGGAGCAAACAGG